GUGCCAGCAGCCGCGGUAAUACGGAGGGUGCAAGCGUUAAUCGGAAUUACUGGGCGUAAAGCGCACGCAGGCGGUCUGUCAAGUCGGAUGUGAAAUCCCCGGGCUCAACCUGGGAACUGCAUUCGAAACUGGCAGGCUAGAGUCUUGUAGAGGGGGUAGAAUUCCAGGUGUAGCGGUGAAAUGCGUAGAGAUCUGAGGAAUACCGGUGCGAAGCGGCCCCUGGACAAAGACUGACGCUCAGGUGCGAAAGCGUGGGGAGCAAACAGGAUUAGAU
rnacentral:rRNA from 1 species